CGCAAGCCUGAUGCAGCCAUGCCGCGUGUAUGAAGAAGGCCUUCGGGUUGUAAAGUACUUUCAGUCGUGAGGAAGGCGGCGUCGUUAAUAGCGGCGUUGUUUGACGUUAGCGACAGAAGAAGCACCGGCUAACUCCGUGCCAGCAGCCGCGGUAAUACGGAGGGUGCGAGCGUUAAUCGGAAUUACUGGGCGUAAAGCGCAUGCAGGUGGUUUGUUAAGUCAGAUGUGAAAGCCCGGGGCUCAACCUCGGAAUAGCAUUUGAAACUGGCAGACUAGAGUACUGUAGAGGGGGGUAGAAUUUCAGGUGUAGCGGUGAAAUGCGUAGAGAUCUGAAGGAAUACCGGUGGCGAAGGCGGCCCCCUGGACAGAUACUGACACUCAGAUGCGAAAGCGUGGGGAGCAAACAGGAUUAGAUACCCUGGUAGUCCACGCCGUAAACGAUGUCUACUUGGAGGUUGUGGCCUUGAGCCGUGGCUUUCGGAGCUAACGCGUUAAGUAGACCGCC
rnacentral:rRNA from 1 species